rnacentral:rRNA from 1 species
AACGCGAAGAACCUUACCAGGUCUUGACAUACCAGGCAAAACCCUAGAGAUAGGGCAAUAGUUAUGCUGGAUACAGGUGGUGCAUGGUUGUCGUCAGCUCGUGUCGUGAGAUGUUGGGUUAAGUCCCGCAACGAGCGCAACCCUUAUCUUCAGUUACCAUCAUUCAGUUGGGGACUCUGGAGAGACUGCCAGUGAUAUACUGGAGGAAGGUGGGGAUGACGUCAAAUCAUCAUGCCCCUUAUGACCUGGGCUACACACGUAAUACAAUGGCGUAUACAGAGGGAAGCGAAGCAGUGAUGUGAAGCAAAUCUCACAAAGUACGUCUCAGUUCGGAUUGUAGUCUGCAACUCGACUACAUGAAGUCGGAAUCGCUAGUAAUCGCAGAUCAGAAUGCUGCGGUGAAUACGUUCCCGGGCCUUGUACACACCG